GAGAAUCUACCUUCGAGAUGGGGACAACCGUUGGAAGCGACGGCUAAUCCCCAAUAAGCCGAAAGGUGAAAGGGUUUCCGCUCGCAGAGGAGCUCGCGUCCGAUUAGUUAGUUGGUGGGGUAAGAGCCUACCAAGACAGCGAUCGGUAGCUGGUCUGAGAGGAUGAGCAGCCACACUGGGACUGAGACACGGCCCAGACUCCUACGGGAGGCAGCAGUGGGGAAUUUUCCGCAAUGGGCGCAAGCCUGACGGAGCAACGCCGCGUGUGGGAAGAAGGCUCUUGGGCUGUCAACCACUUUUCUCAGGGAAGAAGUCCUGACGGUACCUGAGGAAUCAGCCUCGGCUAACUCCGUGCCAGCAGCCGCGGUAAUACGGAGGAGGCAAGCGUUAUCCGGAAUUAUUGGGCGUAAAGCGUCCGCAGGGGGCACUUCAAGUCUGCCGUCAAAGGUCGGAGCUUAACUCCGGUUCGGCAGUGGAAACUGGAGUGCUAGAGGGCGACAGGGGUAGAGGGAAUUCCCAGUGUAGCGGUGAAAUGCGUAGAGAUUGGGAAGAACACCGGUGGCGAAAGCGCUCUACUGGGUCGCACCUGACCCUCAGGGCGAAAGCUAAGGUAGCGAAAGGGAUUAGAUACCCCUGUAGUCUUAGCCGUAAACGAUGGAUACUAGGCGUGGUUUGUAUCGACCCAAGCCGUGCCGAAGCUAACGCGUUAAGUAUCCCGCCUGGGGAGUACGCACGCAAGUGUGAAACUCAAAGGAAUUGACGGGGGCCCGCACAAGCGGUGGAGGAUGUGGUUUAAUUCGAUGCAACGCGAAGAACCUUACCAGGGCUUGACAUCCCGCGAAUCUUGCUGAAAGGUGAGAGUGCCUUCGGGAGCGCGGAGACAGGUGGUGCAUGGCUGUCGUCAGCUCGUGUCGUGAGAUGUUGGGUU
rnacentral:rRNA from 1 species